UCCGAGGCUAAUAAGCUUAGACAGUUAAUGAAUUCACUAUUCAGGUCAAAUCAAUAGUGAAAAGGAAUACCGUUGUAAAGGGUAAAAAGAGUAGUAGUAGGCAAAGAGGGUCCAGCUGCCAUCAUGAGACUAUUCCGGCAUAUGGGAAAGAAAACAAAAAAAAGAAGAAGACCCAUUUCUCAUUUUGACUCCUGUCUUCAAUGAAUGAUUUUAGAUUGGUUGUACAAACGGCCAAAACAGAAAUUACGAGUAAAAACUUGUAGCAGCAAUUUCAUAGUCACCAGCUACAUCUGGGAAUCAGAUGCAACCUCAACUUGAUUGGUUAACUGAAUCUUGAUAGUUUUUUAUUUUACUUCCCACCUUGGCUCCUUACCAGCUCAGCUCAGAGUUUCAGUCCUUAAUUCUCUCAAAAUCUGAAAGAUAAGGAAAGGAUGAUGUCUCCACGUGAUGUCCAUAACCUUUUGGCCUUGCUGGUUACUUGCUAUUCGAGGUAUGGUCUCUCUGUUCCACCCCUAUACUUUCCCCUCCAAGUGGGUUUUCUCAUCAAUAAAAUAUUGUUUGGGAUAUCUCUCUGUUUCUUUUUUUUUAAGACCCACUUUGAUUUUAAACUAUAUUUUAAAGAGAGACGAAUCUUUUUUUUUCUUUUUCUUUUUUUGUGUGUGGUUAAAUCUUUAUAUUCUUAUUUUCUUGACAUAAGAAGCCUUCUAGUGAGUACUACUAUCCACUCACGAAUUAUUAUUAUAUAUUAUCCGUACUUUCGUGGUCUUAAUUGGGGGUAUUUUUUAGAUUUCAACUGAUUAUAAUUAUUGUAGACCUGGAGGACAAAUCAAGAAUAAGGGUUAUG
rnacentral:lncRNA from 1 species